rnacentral:sRNA from 2 species
AUAUCUCGGUAGGUGAGGCUACCACAGGGAUACGGGCUGCUGCCGCAGAAAGUGGAGACACUUUUUUGCCGGUCAACAGGAUCUGUCGAAACAAGGCAUAUCCUAACGCAGCUACACUGCCCUGCGAAGCUGAAGCUUGAACGUUUGAGGU